GAUGAACGCUGGCGGCGUGCCUAAUACAUGCAAGUCGAGCGAACGGACGAGAAGCUUGCUUCUCUGAUGUUAGCGGCGGACGGGUGAGUAACACGUGGAUAACCUACCUAUAAGACUGGGAUAACUUCGGGAAACCGGAGCUAAUACCGGAUAAUAUUUUGAACCGCAUGGUUCAAAAGUGAAAGACGGUCUUGCUGUCACUUAUAGAUGGAUCCGCGCUGCAUUAGCUAGUUGGUAAGGUAACGGCUUACCAAGGCAACGAUGCAUAGCCGACCUGAGAGGGUGGUCGGCCACACUGGAACUGAGACACGGUCCAGACUCCUACGGGAGGCAGCAGUAGGGAAUCUUCCGCAAUGGGCGAAAGCCUGACGGAGCAACGCCGCGUGAGUGAUGAAGGCCUUCGGAUCGUAAAACUCUGUUAUUAGGGAAGGACAUAUGUGUAAGUAACUGUGCACAUCUUGACGGUACCUAAUCAGAAAGCCACGGCUAACUACGUG
rnacentral:rRNA from 1 species